rnacentral:lncRNA from 1 species
GGGGCAAAAAAAAAAAGGAAAAUCAUCAUUUAUCCAUCUUUGGAUGAACCUCAUGUUUUCUGAGACAAAUCUAUGUUCUGCAUUAUAAGAAAAGUUCUGAUUUUCUUAUAGAAAUUAUACACUAACGUCAGUCAGAAAAUAUUGUGAUGUUUUUAUAACUUGGAAAAAAUGUGACUAGUUGAGUCUUGCAAUAAUGCGAACUUGCAUUCAGGUAUCUGAUACAUAUAUCUUUAUGUAGUUUUUCUGAAAAUCUCAGUAAAUAAACUCCCAUUUUUGUUCAUUCAUCAUACAUUGAGUUUAUAGUAGCAAAGAGUCCUAUAACCUUGUUAAAUUUACAUAAAAGACAUUGUACUAUAAAUUAAUUUUAAUACUACAAAUUAUUACAAAAAGUUUACAUGUAUAUAAAAUUCAUCUGUUUAACAAAGUAAUUUUCCACGUUUUAAAGGACUGCUCCCUACUCCAAACAGAGCACUACAGUAGACAUUCUCAAGAGUUUGGACAAAACUUAAACAUGCAUAUAUCAUCAAAGAGUCUGCUGAAAAUAUGUAAUUCAUGAAAAAGUAAAACAAUGGUGAAAGAUGGUGUAAAUGGAAGAAUUUUACAUUCUAUGGUUAUCAACUAGUCAUGAGUGGAGAGACAACACAAAAAAACAAACAUAAUUAUUCACCACUCUCCAUCAUAUUAUAUGUUAAGAAUGUCCACUUGUCAUUCAUUAUUUUUUAAUAGUUUUAGAGAACACAAACUUGUCAAAUCUAUGAAAAAUCAAGAGAGAGACCAUUUUCGGCCACAAUUUCAAUGGCUAAUAUCUCAAAAACAAGCACAUUGACCUAUAUGUAUUUGUUGCUUUUUUGGUUCCUUUAUCAAUCCUAUAUCAAUAUAUACUAGUGUUACAAAAAGCUAGUUAUUUUGAAACUGAGUAGCAAACUUCCUUAAUUUGAUUAUGUCACAACAAAGCCUAGAUUGAAGGCAAAGGUGAAUUAUUGGAACCUAAGAGUAAAAAUUCUAAAAAUUCAUGAAAGGCCAAAUAAAACAUGUUGACUUUAAACAAGCAACAAUGGUUAAAUGAUUUCUUUAAUUUGUAUUGCAAUUAAUCCUUUGGAAAAGAGCUUUGAUGAAUCAGUCUACAGAUGUCUUUAAG